rnacentral:lncRNA from 1 species
UAACUUUGAGGUCCCCAGUGACACUCCAUGCCAGAUGCGUCUGGCACGAGGGACCAGAGGCGUCUGAUGCCCUAGUGUGCUGAAGUAUAAGCUUGUAUUGUUUAACAUCAUUCUUUCAUUUACUCAUUUAGACCCUCUCUUGAAUCAUUCCUUCUACUGCUUCCAUCUUAGGCCAGGUGUGGUGGCUCAUGCCUGUAAUCUCAGCACUUUGGGAGUCUGAGGUGGGCAGAUCACCUGAGUUCGGGAGUUCGAGACCAACCU